CUACGGGCGGCAGCAGGCGCGAAACCUUUACAAUGCACGAAAGUGUGAUAAGGGGAUCCUACGUGCUCAUGAAUUUCAUGGGCUUUUGCCAAGCGUAAAUAGCUUGGAGAAUAAGUGCUGGGUAAGACUGGUGCCAGCCGCCGCGGUAACACCAGCGGCACGAGUGGCAAUCACGAUUAUUGGGCCUAAAGCGUCCGUAGCUGGAUAUGUACAUCCUUUGUGAAAUCGCCGAGCUUAACUCGGCGGCGUGCAGAGGGCACGGCAUAUCUUGGGAAUGGGAGGAGGCAGAGGUAUUUGGGGGGGACCGGUAAAAUGGUAUAAUCCCCUGAGGACCACCGAUGGCGAAGGCAUCUGACCAGAACAUGUCCGACAGUGAGGGACGAAAGCCAGGGGAGCGAACCGGAUUAGAUACCCGGGUAGUC
rnacentral:rRNA from 1 species